rnacentral:misc_RNA from 1 species
AAGUCGUAACAAGGUAUUCGUAGGUGAACCUGCGUAUGGAUCAUUACCGUUUUGGUUGAAUUUCUUCAAUUCAAUCAUAAACAUUUCUAUUCACUUCGCGCAAUUGUUCUAGUUCUUCUAGAAUAAUUGUGUCGCACCAUUAUGUCUGAAACAAGACUUCACUUCUAUAUAUGACUAGCAAUACAAGCAUGUUUUCAUCUCAUUUCGUAUGAGCAUGUUAAUGUGUAUACGUUGUUAGUCGUAUGAAGUCUUGUUUAACAACCUUUCCAUUCAACAAAUCAUUGUUGUUUGUCAUUGAAUAUGAAUCGAAUGUACAUACAGAAUAAAAAUAACAAUUCUGUACGGUGGAUCACUCGGCUCGU